rnacentral:rRNA from 1 species
GAUGAACGCUGACAGAAUGCUUAACACAUGCAAGUCUACUUGAACUUCGGUCUGGGUGGCGGACGGGUGAGUAACGCGUAAAGAACUUGCCUCACAGAUAGGGACAACAUUUGGAAACGAAUGCUAAUACCUGAUAUUAUGAUUUUAGGGCAUCCUAGAAUUAUGAAAGCUAUAUGCACUGUGAGAGAGCUUUGCGUCCCAUUAGCUAGUUGGAGAGGUAACGGCUCACCAAGGCGAUGAUGGGUAGCCGGCCUGAGAGGGUGAUCGGCCACAAGGGGACUAAGACACGGCCCUUACGCCUACGGGAGGCAACAGUGGGGAAUAUUGGACAAUAGACCAAGAGUCUGAUCCAGCAAUUCUGUGUGCACGAUGAAGUUUUUCGGAAUGUAAAGUGCUUUCAGUUGAGAAGAAAAAAAUGACGGUACCAACAGAAGAAGUGACGGCUAAAUACGUG